AGCUUUGUGCAGUGGCAGUAUUGUAGCCAAUGAGGUUUACUCAAGGGGCGAUUAUUGCUAAUUGAAAAUAUUCACUCUUAAAAAUGAAUGCAGGGAUGGGCUGUGAGCAUCCCAGCAGUGACUUAACCUCUGCAACAAGCACCUUUG
ensembl:snRNA U4 U4 spliceosomal RNA